rnacentral:rRNA from 1 species
GAUGAACGCUGGCGGCGUGCCUAAUACAUGCCAGUCGAGCGAACGGACGAGAAGCUUGCUUCUCUGAUGUUAGCGGCGGACGGGUGAGUAACACGUGGAUAACCUACCUAUAAGACUGGGAUAACUUCGGGAAACCGGAGCUAAUACCGGAUAAUAUUUUGAACCGCAUGGUUCAAAAGUGAAAGACGGUCUUGCUGUCACUUAUAGAUGGAUCCGCGCUGCAUUAGCUAGUUGGUAAGGUAACGGCUUACCAAGGCAACGAUGCAUAGCCGACCUGAGAGGGUGAUCGGCCACACUGGAACUGAGACACGGUCCAGACUCCUACGGGAGGCAGCAGUAGGGAAUCUUCCGCAAUGGGCGAAAGCCUGACGGAGCAACGCCGCGUGAGUGAUGAAGGUCUUCGGAUCGUAAAACUCUGUUAUUAGGGAAGAACAGAUGUGUAAGUAACUGUGCACAUCUUGACGGUACCUAAUCAGAAAGCCACGGCUAACUACGU